rnacentral:rRNA from 1 species
UACAGGGGGUGCAAACGUUGCUCGGAAUCAUUGGGCGUAAAGCGCGCGUAGGCGGUCUGUUAUGUCGGAUGUGAAAGCCCUCGGCUCAACUGAGGAAGUGCAUCCGAAACUGGCAGGCUAGAGUACUAAAGAGGGUCGCGGAAUUCCCGGUGUAGAGGUGAAAUUCGUAGAUAUCGGGAGGAACACCGGUGGCGAAGGCGGCGACCUGGGUAGAUACUGACGCUGAGGUGCGAAAGCGUGGGGAGCAAACAGG